AGGAACCCAGUGCCGUGAAAGUGGCACGCUGGGUUCUGAAUGGGAGGUGGGGAAAGCGAUUCCCCCAUCGACCCCUAAU
rfam:Planktothricoides sp. SR001 contig_50, whole genome shotgun sequence.